UGCGUAGAUUAUGGCAAACACCGUGUGGCGAAGGCGGCUCUCUGGUCUGCCACUGACGCUGAGGCUCGAAAGCAUGGUGAGCAAACAGGAUUAGAUACCCUGGUAGUCCAUGCCCUAAACGAUGAGUGAUAAGUGUCAUCAGGCUUCUUAUGAUCUGUGCUAAAGCUAACGCAUUAAGCACUCCGCCUGGGGAGUACGACCGCAAGGUUGAAACUCAAAGGAAUUGACGGGGGCCCGCACAAGCGGUGGAGCAUGUGGUUUAAUUCGAAGCAACGCGAAGAACCUUACCAGGUCUUGACAUCUUUUGGAAAGCUUAAAAAUAAGGCUUUCCCUUUCGGGAACAAAAGACAGGGGGGGCAUGUGUGUCGCCACCUCGUGUCGUGAGAUGUUGGGUUAAAUCCCCCAACGAGCGCACCCCUUGUUAUUAUUUGCCACCAUUUAGUUGGGCACUCUAUAGAGACUGCGGGGGACAAACCGGAGAAAGGGGGGGAUAACAUCAAAUCUUCUUGCCCCUUAUAACAUGGGGAAAA
rnacentral:rRNA from 1 species